rnacentral:rRNA from 1 species
UACGUAGGGUACAAGCGUUGUCCGGAAUUAUUGGGCGUAAAGAGCUCGUAGGCGGCCUGUCGCGUCGACUGUGAAAACCCAGGGCUCAACCCUGGGCCUGCAGUCGAUACGGGCAGGCUAGAGUGCAGUAGGGGAGACUGGAAUUCCUGGUGUAGCGGUGAAAUGCGCAGAUAUCAGGAGGAACACCGGUGGCGAAGGCGAGUCUCUGGACAUUUCCUGACGCUGAGGCACGAAAGCCAGGGGAGCAAACGGG